rnacentral:rRNA from 1 species
GACGAACGCUGGCGGCGUGCUUAACACAUGCAAGUCGAACGCUGAAACACUGAGCUUGCUCGGUGUGGAUGAGUGGCGAACGGGUGAGUAACACGUGAGUAACCUGCCCCUGACUCUGGGAUAAGCGCUGGAAACGGCGUCUAAUACUGGAUAUGACCCCUGGCCGCAUGGUCUGGGGGUGGAAAGAUUUAUCGGUUGGGGAUGGGCUCGCGGCCUAUCAGCUGGAUGGUGAGGUAACGGCUCACCAUGGCGACGACGGGUAGCCGGCCUGAGAGGGUGACCGGCCACACUGGGACUGAGACACGGCCCAGACUCCUACGGGAGGCAGCAGUGGGGAAUAUUGCACAAUGGGCGAAAGCCUGAUGCAGCAACGCCGCGUGAGGGAUGACGGCCUUCGGGUUGUAAACCUCUUUUAGCAGGGAAGAAGCGUGAGUGACGGUACCUGCAGAAAAAGCACCGGCUAACUACGUG